AACAGGUAACAGCUAAUUCCAACUGUCAGAAACAUUUUUACUAGCUACAGUUUUAAAUAUUUUUCUCGUAUUGACUUUUGAUGUGUUGAUCAUCAAUCCUAAUGAGCACGCGCAAGUUCAAAACAUCAGAGGAUCAUCAGGUCAUGGGACCAGCUCAGGAAAGCUCCUAUCUCAAGACAAAAGACCAAGAAUAUCCAACAGCGUGUCUGUCCCUAGGACCACAGACAAUGGUCUACACAAAGCCGGAUUCUGGGCAGGGAACACUCCGAGUCUGAAAGAGGGUGUAUCAGCUAGCAGUGCUGGCACAGGCAACAGCGUUACCAUCUCUGAACGCUGAUGAUGUUUGUGGGACGGGAAGUCUACAAAUGCAGGUUCGCUUGAGGUCUCCAUCUCACUGUUCAAUGAGAAGGGUGUUCCUUCUCAUUUUAUGCUCAGGAGAGAGGCAGCAGGCUAAGGCUAACUGUGGAGCAAGCAGGUAAGCUGCUAAGUUCCUCAGAAGAACACUGCAGAACUCAAGCUCCAGCACAACGAACAAGCGUACUACACCUCAGAGAGAAGCUGCCUCAAUGCCAUGGAGAGUUGGAAGUUUCCUCCCACGUAUACCCGUCCUUACCUCGCAUCAGCUUGGCCCGCAAGAACACCAACCUGACAGACUGUAACCUUGAACUGAACCUCACCCUAUGAAACAGGGGCUCUAUAUCUGACUAAAAUGACUCUGUUCCUAAGACCUCCUCCAUCUCUGGCUGAGGCUCUUUAACCUACAGCCAAGAAGUUGCCCUGAGGGA
rnacentral:lncRNA from 1 species